GACGAACGCUGGCGGCGUGCUUAACACAUGCAAGUCGAACGAUGAAGGAGAGAGCUUGCUCUUUUUGGAUUAGUGGCGAACGGGUGAGUAACACGUGAGUAAUCUGCCCCGGACUCUGGGAUAAGCGUUGGAAACGACGUCUAAUACCGGAUAUGAAGCGUGGAGGCAUCUUCUGCGUUUGGAAAGAUUUUUUGGUUUGGGAUGAGCUCGCGGCCUAUCAGCUUGUUGGUGAGGUAAUGGCUUACCAAGGCGACGACGGGUAGCCGGCCUGAGAGGGUGACCGGCCACACUGGGACUGAGACACGGCCCAGACUCCUACGGGAGGCAGCAGUGGGGAAUAUUGCACAAUGGGCGCAAGCCUGAUGCAGCAACGCCGCGUGAGGGAUGACGGCCUUCGGGUUGUAAAGCUCUUUCAGCUGGGAAGAUAAUGACGGUACCAGCAGAAGAAGCCCCGGCUAACUCCGUGCCAGCCGC
rnacentral:rRNA from 1 species